UAGCCCACCCUAUUCGUUUUGUCAAAAAGCAAAGCCCAUGGAACCCAUGGAGCCCAUUUAAACCCAAGUGAAGCAACUCCCUAAUGUUAAAGGGUUUUGUUACGUGUGUUGUUGGUUGCACAUAUAUAUAGGUGAAUCUAUCUCCCUUUUCUCUGAGCCACUAACGGAAACCAAAUAAGAAUCUUGAGAAAGCAAAUCCAAAGCAUCAACACAUGAGUUCUAUAGUGGGGUCGUUACCAUAUCCGAGAGAGAAGAGAGUUCACAAGUGAAGGAAACCAAAGCGAUUCAUGCAACCGUUCCUAAACCGAGCGUCACCGCGUCGUCUUAAUCUUAACCCUAAUUAAAGAUUGUGGAACGCUUGAAGAGGAGAAGAGAAAGGGAAGAGAUGAAGGAUAACCGUGAGGAAGAUGAGAGGAAGCGGAGACGAAGGACGAUA